rnacentral:rRNA from 1 species
UGGGGAAUCUUGGACAAUGGGGGCAACCCUGAUCCAGCCAUGCCGCGUGAGUGAUGAAGGCCUUAGGGUCGUAAAGCUCUUUCGCCUGUGAAGAUAAUGACGGUAGCAGGUAAAGAAACCCCGGCUAACUCCGUGCCAGCAGCCGCGGUAAUACGGAGGGGGUUAGCGUUGUUCGGAAUUACUGGGCGUAAAGCGCACGUAGGCGGACCAGAAAGUUGGGGGUGAAAUCCCGGGGGCUCAACCCCGGAACUGCCUCCAAAACUAUUGGUCUAGAGUUCGAGAGAGGUGAGUGGAAUUCCAAGUGUAGAGGUGAAAUUCGUAGAUAUUUGGAGGAACACCAGUGGCGAAGGCGGCUCACUGGCUCGAUACUGACGCUGAGGUGCGAAAGUGUGGGGAGCAAACAGGAUUAGAUACCCUGGUAGUCCACACCGUAAAACGAUGAAUGCCAGUCGUCGGGUAGCAUGCUAUUCGGUGACACACCUAACGGAUUAAGCAU